UACGGGGGAUGCGAGCGUUAUCCGGAUUUAUUGGGUUUAAAGGGUGCGUAGGCGGCGCUUCAGGUCAGCGGUGAAAUACCGGGGCUCAACCCCGGGGCUGCCGUUGAAACUGGGGAUCUAGAGUGUGCGAGAGGUAUGCGGAAUGCGUGGUGUAGCGGUGAAAUGCAUAGAUAUCACGCAGAACCCCGAUUGCGAAGGCAGCAUACCGGUGCACAACUGACGCUCAGGCACGAAAGCGUGGGUAUCGAACAGG
rnacentral:rRNA from 1 species